GACGAACGCUGGCGGCGUGCCUAAUACAUGCAAGUAAAACGCACAGUUUAUACCGUAGCUUGCUACACCAUAGACUGUGAGUUGCGAACGGGUGAGUAACGCGUAGGUAACCUGCCUGGUAGCGGGGGAUAACUAUUGGAAACGAUAGCUAAUACCGCAUAAUAUUAAUUAUUGCAUGAUAAUUAAUUGAAAGGUGCAAUUGCACCACUACCAGAUGGACCUGCGUUGUAUUAGCUAGUAGGUGAGGUAACGGCUCACCUAGGCGACGAUACAUAGCCGACCUGAGAGGGUGAUCGGCCACACUGGGACUGAGACACGGCCCAGACUCCUACGGGAGGCAGCAGUAGGGAAUCUUCGGCAAUGGACGAAAGUCUGACCGAGCAACGCCGCGGGAGGGAAGAAGGUUUUCGGAUCGUAAAGCUCUGUUGUAAGAGAAGAACGGGUGUGAGAGUGGAAAGUUCACACUGUGACGGUAUCUUACCAGAAAGGGACGGCUAACUACGUG
rnacentral:rRNA from 1 species